CAGUGACUGUCUAAUGAUGAUUUUUGUUUUUGCACAGUUACUCUAACAAUUAAAAUAUUAUUUGAAAUUGCUUUUUCCAGGUAUCCAUGUCGAUAAUAAUAAUGAUGAACGCCAUCACGUUAUUUCUCAGCAUAUUCCUUUUCACAUCUGUCUAUGGUCUGGACGGCUCUGGUAGUUGGCUGAAUAGUUUUUCAAACAUGGGUCCUGGGUGAAAAAUCUUGAUUUGAGACCUAAUAUAGCCGUUCAUGUUUCACGGCCACGGGCGAAGUUGGUGAAUGCGUAUCAUAUUACAACUGUUAUGAUGCGCCCCAGGAUGAUAUAGGAAGCACAUCCGGAUGUUUACACUACCUUCAUGUCUGCGGUAUAAAUGUGCCUACCGGUGAUGAGG